rnacentral:rRNA from 1 species
GAUGAACGCUGACAGAAUGCUUAACACAUGCAAGUCGACUGGAAUUCACCUUCGGGUGAUAGUACGGUGGCGGACGGGUGAGUAACGCGUAAAGAACUUGCCCUCUAGACUGGGACAACUGUUGGAAACGACAGCUAAUACCGGAUAUUAUGGAACCUUCGCAUGGAGGAACUAUGAAAGCUAUAUGCGCUAGAGGAGAGCUUUGCGUGCCAUUAGCUAGUUGGUAGGGUAACGGCCUACCAAGGCGACGAUGGCUAGCCGGCCUGAGAGGGUGAUCGGCCACAAGGGGACUGAGACACGGCCCUUACUCCUACGGGAGGCAGCAGUGGGGAAUAUUGGACAAUGGACCAAAAGUCUGAUCCAGCAAUUCUGUGUGCACGAUGAAGGUUUUCGGAUCGUAAAGUGCUUUCAGCAGGGAAGAAAAAAAAUGACGGUACCUGCAGAAGAAGCGACGGCUAAAUACGUGCCAGCAGCCGCGGU